UGUCUGUAAACUUUUCACAUUUUCGAGUUCUUCUCAAGAAUCAAUGGACCAAUUUUCACCAAACUUGCCACAAAGCAUCCUUGGGUGAAGGGGAUUCAAGUUCAAAUGAAGGGUCAAGCCCUCUUCCAAGGGGAGAUAAUUAUGAAUCAAAUCAUAACCCACAGGGGUAGGGUGGGGCCACAAAGAUGGAUCCAAGUUUUACAUAGGAUUGAUUUUAUACUGUUUAACGUCCCUCUCCAGAAUAUUUCACUGAUAUGAAGACGUCACCAUUGCCGGUGAAGGGCUGCAAAUUUAGGCCUAUGCUCGGCACUUACGGCCAUUAAGCAGGGAGGGAUCUUAAUCGUGCCACACCUGCUGUGACACGGGGCCUCGGUUUAUACGGUCUCAUCCGAAGGACCGCCCCAUUUAGUCGCCUUUUACGACAAGCAAGGGGGUACUGAGGACCUAUUCUAUCCCGGAUCCCCACGGGGCGUUUUACAUAGGAAAAUAAAGGGAAAAAUCUCAAUAACAUAAAAGGUAUGUUAAGUCAUACUGACAUGUAAGCAUCCUCAUGUUUUGAAGAUUUAAAUUUGUUCAAAUCAUGAGUACCCUUUGGGGUAGGGAGGGAAGCAAUGGGGAGUUAAAUUCAAAUUAUUACAAAGUAAUAUAUACAAACAAAAUGUGAAAAAAAUCUAUAAUAAUCUUUUUCUGCAAGAACUUUCUCAAAAGUUAUAUGCAGAAUAGAUAUGGAGGCAUUCUAAAGUAGUAUUACAAUUCAAGCCCCCUUCCCCCCACCCCUCAGUCAACUUUUCAAUUCUAAUCUGAUUUGUGCUUUCACCUAGCUGAUUUGCUCAAAUGAGCGAUGUGGCCCCUGGGCCUCUUGAUUUCAUAUGUCGACUCGAUAUCUCUCGAAUUUGAAAUUUGAUUUGAAAUCAUUUUUCAGCAGAGUUUGGCUUAUAUGUUUCAUAUAUUUUAGAUUUGUUUUGGGCGUGAUUUUUCUUUGUAAAGUCCAUAUUUCACAUAACCUCAUUUAAGUAUAUAAAACACACUUUCAGUCUAUCAGUGUGUACCAACCUGUCCUCCUGGAUAUCAUAAACCAAAAUUACAAGAUGGAUGUAUUCCAGACCAAACAAGUCUCACAUCGACUGAAUCGGCGACUACAAGGACACAAAUAGAGGAUUUGAGGGAAACCGAGGUUUCUGUAAUGAAAGAUGAAGUUCCCGAUAACAAUGCUACAGUUUUAGGCUUAGCCAUAACGUUAAGCUUGACGUUAUUUGUGGUAUCUGUGAUAGUCAUUAUUUAUUGUAUACGGAGUAAAAAAUGUAAGUAUUUUUUUUUCUUAUUUUGGUUGUUCAUGUAAAAAACAACAAACGAAUUAAAAAGAUCAUUUUAUGUUUCUCCUGUACCUUUUUAGCUCACAUGAACCAAAAGCCCAAAUGAGCAUUUCUGAUCGAAAGUCUGUUGUCUGUCGUCGUCAUCGUCGUCUAUUUUUCACAAUUUUAUCUUCUCUAGAAAACUGCUGGGCUUAUUUCAACCAAAUUUGGCACAGAGUAUCUGAGAGGAAGUUAAAAAUAUGAAAAUGAAGGGCCAAGUCCUCUUACAAUGUACAAGGGGAGAUAACUUUGUUCAAAUAAAGGGUCACGCCCGUCCAAGAGGAGAUAACUACGAAAUAGCGAAAAGUAAUAUCAGUGAAAAAGUCUCACCUCAAAAACCAAUGGGACAGGAAAAAUGACAUUCCUCUGAAAUCAUUGUCAGGUAGUGUAGAUUCAAGUUUGUUCAAAUCAUGUCCCCGGGGGUUAGAUGGAGCCACAAUAGAUGAUCAAAGGUAUAUGUAGGAGUUCAAAAGGGAAAAGUCACAAUUAGUCAGAAACUACGUAAGCAUAUUUAUUUAGUAUAGAUUCGAUUUUGUUCAAAUCAUAACA